AUUAAAUGCUAGUGAAUGAAACAGUUGGAACCCCCACAUAAAUCCUUAUUGCUCUAAAUUCCAUUCUUUAAAUAUUAGUGUAUGUCAUUCCUACUUUAAUAAAUAGCCAUGGAAAUGCCAGAUGCUUUAUGAACCACCUGAGAGGGUUCUGAGAUGCCCUUUAGACUUAGGAGAAGUUGAAAGGUAUUACAUUAAUCUAUAUCACUUAAUCUCAAUUUUCUAUUAGCUAGAACUAACCAUACAAGAACACUUCUUGACUUUUGUUUCUUCUAGCCUUCAGAACAAUGGCAGCUUUGCUCCUCACUGAAUGUCUGUGGGAACUAAAGAAAUCAUACACGUGGACCUAACUGCACCAAAAGCUUUUCUAAGGAUAUUUGCUGAGAAGGAAGUUUUCCCGAGUGGUUUACCAAGUAAUUGCUAAUUGGAAGCCAGAAGAAAAGAAAAAUGUUUUGCCACGUGGAUGUGAAGAUUUCCUCUGAAAGGUAUAUGACUCAAAUUACCUUGGUGAUACGCAGUAUGAUUUUGGUUUUUCUUAAGUAUGCCUUUGGGAAUGGCAAAGGAAAAGAAGAGCUACCACGUUCUUAUAAAUAUGGUGAUUAAUUAUAAGUGUCUUAAUAAACCUUUUCUAGUUUUGAGGUCUAAAUUUGCUUUUAAAUGCAGCUGGAAGGUUUGAGAUGAUUUAACUCAUUUUCUCUUCCCUAUUAGGGUUUAUGCUCAAUGUUUUGUGCUUUACAUAAAUGUUAGAGUUUGAGGUGUUAUUUCAUCUGUUUAUUUAUUUCGAAUUUAGCAGGAAUAAAGAACAUCACCUUGUAAACUGAAGAUUGAGACGAGUCAGAAUAAUGUCAAAGUGCUUACAGUGCAGGUAGUGAUUUGUGCAUCUACUGCAGUGAAGGCACUUGUAGCAUUAUGGUGACAGCUGCCUCGGGGGCCACGGUGGGCUGGGGCGCAGGGCCUGCUGGUGUCGAGCGCUUUUUGUUCUAAGGUGCAUCUAGUGCAGAUAGUGAAGUAGAUUAGCAUCUACUGCCCUAAGUGCUCCUUCUGGCAUAAGAAGUUAUGCUUCCGUCCAGUGAGCCAGCCAAGCAAGCAUAGAGGUGUGCUAAUACUGUGUGUGUGCAGUCCUCUGUUAGUUUUGCAUAGUUGCACUACAAGAAGAAUGUAGUUGUGCAAAUCUAUGCAAAACUGAUGGUGGCCUGCUAUUUCCUUCAAGUGAUGCUUAACUAAUUUUGUGUACUUUUAUUGUGUCGAUGUAGAAUCUGCCUGGUGUGUGACGUGACAGCUUCUGUAGCACUAAAGUGCUUAUAGUGCAGUUUUGCAGGUUUGCAUCCAGCUGUGUGAUAUUCUGCUGUGCAAAUCCAUGCAAAACUGACUGUGGUAGUGAAAAGUCUGUAGAAAAGUAAGGGAAAAUCAAACCCCUUUCUACACAGGUUGGGAUCAGUUGCAAUGCUGUGUUUCUGUAUGGUAUUGCACUUGUCCCGGCCUGUUGAGUUUGGUGGGGAUUGUGACCAGAAGAUUUUGAAAAUUAAAUAUUGCUGAAGAUUCAACUUCCACUUUUAACCGUUCCAGAAAUAAAGUAUCGAAAAAGAAGAUGUGUAAUCAUUCUGUGUAAAAGUUCACAUACAUAUCUGUGUGUAAAAUAUAUAUUAACCACAUACAGCUUUUCCUUGAAGUUGUUUUGUCAUAUUUUUGUACUAAAACAUUCUUCUAAGAUUGCAUGUUGUAUAUGAUAUUUUUUUGGUCAAAUUUGAUUUACUUAGUUAACAAAUUAACAAUUUGUAAGGGAAAUUUAUUUUGAUAAUCUGUAAAGUGAGGAUAUAUGCCUUUUGCUUACUUUGGACCUGGAAUUCAGGACAUUUUACUUAACCUCUAAAAGGCAAUAACUUUUGUUGCUUAACAUUCAAAUAUUUAAAUUUGGUGAAAAUGCCAUUCUGUUUAAAGCAUUGUGUAAAGAAAGUUGUUCUGUUAUUGUUUAAGCAUGAAAUUUAAAUUUGGGAGGGGUGGGUUGUCUUGUUGCUAGUAAACAAAUACUAUUUUGUCAGUACUGGUGUUCUCCAUGUAUAACUGUUAACUGGUUAUUUGCAAGUUUUUUUAGUAAUUGUUAAUGAUGUAUAAACUGUCAGUGAUCCUUAGAUUGUUCUUCGCUUUCUGGAACAUAAAACAGUAGUUGAAAAGAAAACAAGAUAUGCUAAUGCUGAAUGGAGUUGACAAGUAUGUGUGUCUGUAGGUCUUAAUGCCAAGAGUGUGAGUGGGAAUCUGAAAUUAGUUUUUGUUUAAAGUCUGUAGUUAACGUUUCUGUUCCCUACUACCUUCAUAAAGCAGACUUUGGCAACAAGUGGAACCUAAGUAGAGGCAGGCAGAGCAACAUCUCUGCCUCUUCUCCUGUGUGUUUUGUCUCUAAUUUGGGUUUCAUAUGUGGUAGAAAAAUGUGGGUUAACUUAAGAAUGAUUAUGUUUUAAAUGAUCAGUUGUUAAAAUUGGACCCAAGUUAAAUUUUGUAAGAAGGAUGCUGUCUUAGUAAUAUGGAAUAAAUUAACAUGUAACCUCAAUGUGUCACCCAAUACAUUUUGAGAACAUCCUUUUAAAAUGCAUUGUGUGAAGUUGAACAAAAGUUUAACCCCUUGUGUGUCCCUUCUUUAAGAAAUAUAAAGAGCUUAAUUAAGGAUCCCUGAAUAGAAAAGGUAAGAAUUUCACAGUUCUGGAGUUCAUUAAAAGGUAAAUAAUUUCCAGAAUGAGAGAAAACUACUAAGAAUGAUGUAGUGCUUACAAAAUGGAAAUCUAACUGUCCAUUAGUUUGAGUUCUUAAACCUUUUGAAUUGGAAGGAAACCUAAAAAUUGUUUUUGUGUUUAAUGACAAACUGCUUUAAACUGUGCUUUAAAAGUCCCAUAAUGUUAGCAUGGCUUACAGUACUCUACAAAAUGGUGUGCUAUAGGUUAAAAGGGGAAAGAGGAUGUUUACAUGUACCAGAUCAUAUAAUUUUAUUUUUAAAGCUUUGGGGAAAAUACUCUAGGGUUAUUGUUCAAAGUGAAACAAUGAUAAGCCUGUCAGAUGAUUCUUAAAUGUGCUAAACCAUAAGUCAAGUAACUAAACAAAAGAAUUGUUACGUUAAAAGAUAAGUCUUCCUAGAUGCUGAAUUUGUGUAGUACUUACAUUCAGAACUUAGUUGAACUGUUAAUCAGGGAGAACGUUUUAUGUGGGCAUUGGCAGUGGGGCUGUGGUUGUUUAGGGUUUAGUAAGUAGGAAUUGCAUCUGAUUCUGGGUGAAAUACCUGGCAAAUUUUGUAUGCUUGUGUCUAAAGAUUUCUGAGGUGUGUACAACAUACUCUUCAAAUAACACUAAAGAAAAGACAUACAAAUAACAAAGGUUAACAUUCAGCCAUUUUGAGAUAUCAGUUAGGGCACAAGUUGAUUAUAGCUAAUGAUUGCCUCAUAUAUAAUUGACCUGGGGAAAACUGCUCUGGCCAUCUUUUCUCAGUGUUGAGAAAACCUUGAAAUUCCUUAAAGUUUCAAAUUUGAUAGCCUUAAGACUGUUUUCAGAAAAAAUAAAUCUAAUAAUACUCUUUUGCAUGUUAUUCAUAUCUGAUUCUCCAGUUUGCGUGUUUAAAAAGGAAAGUAACAGUUUUACAAGUUAUUCUUUGUCAAAGCUGCUUGCAAAGUAGUGGUGAUUUUACUAAAAACUUCUGAGAUCUUCAUUUUACAGGCAAACCUAUCUAAGCAGACCAAACCAGACUUGAGGGUUUUCCCUGUAUUUUGAAGAGCCCUACAGAAUGAUUCGUGAUAAAAAGCAACCUACAACUACUGGAGGAAAAUUUGGUGUCACAUUAAAGUUUGCUGUGUAUUUAAUGAAGUACUGUUCUGAAUUGAUAACCUUGGGGUGGUUUGUCUAGCAUCAGAAUUAGGAGCCUCUGAGCUGAGCAGUAAAGGUAAGGAGGGCUCAGUGUACAAGGUCAGUUUUUGUUGUCCAACUGGAAGUCCUACCAUGCCUACUUGAAGACAGCACAUUCCUCUUUGCCUUGGAGGUUGUUGAGCUUUCAUUGUACUUAAAGACUGAAUACAGUUUUCUGUUUUGUUAAGGUAAAUUCAGGAUGUAAUAGUCUUACUGAGUUUUAAAGGGUAACAAAGUUGGGCAUACCCUGUAAAUUUUCAGGCCAUAGAAAAAUCAGUGAAGGCUUAGUUUUCUAAUUUAGCGUAUAUAGCAUUCAGAGAUGCUGAUGUAUUUGCAACUAAGUCGUGCUGUUGGAAUUGUUUUGGUGCUUUCAAUGUAAAUAAAUAUAUGCAUUUUAAAACUACUUGUUAAAUUUCCCAGAAUGAUAAUUUUGAAAUAAAAAUUUUAAGGUUAUGCUUGGUUGUAAUUUCUCUGGCGUUUUUUGUUACUAUAAAACAUCCAAACACCUUUCCUUAUUAAUUGAGGUAACUGGGGGAGAGGGAACAGGUGUACCUUAACUUUGGUAUCAGUGGCAUCUGUGUUUGUAUCCUGAUUUUACAGAUAAGAGAAUGUGAUGAGCAAAGUUUAUUUGCAAGGAUAUGAAGCUGGUAAAUAGGCUCUGAAUUUAAACCCAUGUUGAUAAACUAUGAAAAAGACAGUAAAGUUGCAAUUCCAGUCACAUGUGGUUUUGAAUACUUACUAAAAAAUAUGUAAUUGCUAGCAGAUUUCCUCCUUAACAAGGUUAAGUAACAUGGUAUGGAGGUAAAGAACAAAAACCCAAAGUUGGCAGUUUAAUGACAUCAAAUUACAUGGUCAGUGUAGUAUCACCAUUCUUAAUAACUGUGAUUAACAUAUACUCAUUUUAUGUUUACUUGUAAGAAGUGUAUGUACUGUGAGGAUUGUUUAAAAUAAUGCUGACUUUAACUUGUGUAGACUAAGACGUUAAAAGCUCCUCUGAAAUUUCAUUGAUUAAACUUAAGAGGAAUCCUAAUUCAGAUGUAAGUAGUUGUGUAGGAUUACUACUGUUCAGCAGAGUUGGGGGAGCUGGGACUUCAGAACCUUGCGAGGAUAGAUGAAAAUGAUCUGCUUGUUCAAGUAUGUGAAGCCCUUAAGCCACUAGGUGACCUUAGGCUAGGCUGAGGCCACCUCAAGAUCACUGCUGGAAUUACAGUCCAGAUGCAUCAGAAUCUGGGGAGAGUUAAGUAGAGUUGGUUGCUAGGAGGACAAACGAGAAGUCUGUUGAUCUUAUGUUUAAGAAUUAACCAUUUCCCUGAAUUGUCUGAAAUGAUGAGCCAGAGGAAUGCAGAACAUCAAAGCAGCACCUCUGUAUGAAGGUAAGGGGCUACUUUUAAGACUAGAAGAUCAUCAUUUUAUGUUUUGUGUACCUAGUUUUAUAGCUGACUGCUUGGCAUGACGCCUUUCAGCUAGCACCAGCCUUAAAUCUGCUUCUGAAUCCAUAAGCUUUUCGUCUCCCAACUUGAAGUAAUAGUGUCUCUUCAGUGAUACUUGUGUUUUGGUAAUAGCAUGCACCACGUGUAUAAUAGCAGCUUUUGUGCUGGACUGGAUUUCCUUGAGGUUUGACUCUUCACCCUGUUCUCCAGGGUCAUUGUAAAGGCAAGUGAUUUUCUAGCCCUCUUCCUCAAGAAAAUUUGUCAGACUUGUACCUUCUCAUACUUUUGAUUUCUAGAAUUCUAGUUUCUGCUAUGUUCUGAACAUUUCUGAUAACCUGAUUUCUGCUCUUGACUGUGUACUGUUAGUCAUAAUGUUGCUUGAGCCUCCAGCUCACCCACUGUCUUUAUACACUGACCUUUUAUUCUGCGUCUCCUCAUCACCACCAUUUACUCUCCAGGCUUUUUCUCCACGGACUUUGCACUUGGUUUUCCCUGAGAUUGGAAAAAAUUUUCUCCGAUAGCUGAUUUAAUCCUCUUUGCUUCUAGUCUUUGCACAAAUGUCAAACCUUCUCUCCUGUUUGUACCCUCUCCCUGGGUGGUUUUUUCUGGGUAGACUACUAAUGGUGUCAUUAGGGAUCUUGUUAGAAAUGCAGGAUCUAAGGCCUUUUCCAGGCCAGAAUUGGGGUCUUCAUGUAAAAUACCCUUCUUCACUCCCUUCUAGGAUACUCUAUGAGGUCAGGGGUUUGAAGAUGUUCAGUGAUGCAUAUUCAACAAGUAAAAUGGUAUCCAGCAUGUAGAGGGUACCUGGUAGUUUGUGCAUAAGUGAGUGCAAGUUCUCAGGGGUGAAUGUGGCUGUCAGAGUCCAUGGAAGUUCAUGCCAAACAUGAAAAGACCAGUCUAGUUCAUUUGGAACUUGAGAAGUUUAAUUGUAAAAUGUGUUACUGGUCUUCGCAGGUGCUUGGUUGGAUUAGUGUUGGGACAAUUGGUGAGUGAAGAUUUAUGGUACCUAGUAAUCCCCUGGGGAAAAAAGGAAAC
ensembl:lncRNA